AAUAAUUGAAUAGGUGAUUACCUAAACUGUAAUAACUUAUCUUUCAGGAUAAAUUAAUAAUCAAGUCCAAUUUAUAUUAACCUUUAGAUCUAACACAUAAAUUUACAAAUAAUAAAGAACUACCUUUUUUUUCCAAAUAACAACACUAUUUGGUGAUGGGUAUUGAAUAAAAGAGAUGAAAUAAUAAUACUAAAAUGGAUGUGUGGUUGGAUAUAAUUAGGAAUGAAGAGAUGGUAUCUAUUUUUUUAUAAUCUAAGAGUGAUGAGUUUAGUGAGUGUAGCAGUGAAAAUGAAAAAAAAAUGCAGAUCCAAGUACAGAUGGAAAAGGCAAUUUAAACGUAAAUUUUAAAAUAAAUAUUUGAUUAAAUAAAACCAUUCAUAAAUGUUUAUAAACACAAUAUGGUAAAAUACACCAAAUAUAAAUGCAACUAAUAAUCUAGCAAUGUAGGAACCUACCUAUCUAAAUUAAUUUAUCCACAAGGUACUUGUGUUAAAUUAAUUGAAUGUUGUUUUUUUUAUGGUCUACGUUUUGAACAAAAUUGUUCCAUUUCAAAUUUUAAUAGAUGCUCAACAUUGAAGCACCAUACUAUAAUUAAAUCUCGUUUUGCAAAUAAUACACUUGUAAAAUUAUAUUUCUUGUUCUUUGAACAGGAUUUAACAGACAUUUAAUAUGUUUUGUUAUUUAUUCAUGCAAGUUAAAAAAAUAAAUUAACUUACAGAUUAUAAUACUAUACCUAUCAAAUUAAAAACUCAUAAAUGUAUUAUGGAGAAUACAACCAAGAAUAUGACCAACCAAAUGGAAAUGAAACAAAAAUUGAUAUGUUAGACAUUAAUAUUUUUGACUAAGUUUGAACAUA